GACGAACGCUGGCGGCGUGCUUAACACAUGCAAGUCGAACGGAAAGGCCCUGCUUUUGUGGGGUGCUCGAGUGGCGAACGGGUGAGUAACACGUGAGUAACCUGCCCUUGACUUUGGGAUAACUCCAGGAAACUGGGGCUAAUACCGGAUAGGAGCUCCUGCUGCAUGGUGGGGGUUGGAAAGUUUCGGCGGUUGGGGAUGGACUAGCGGCUUAUCAGCUUGUUGGUGGGGUAGUGGCUUACCAAGGCUUUGACGGGUAGCCGGCCUGAGAGGGUGACCGGCCACAUUGGGACUGAGGUACGGCCCAGACGCCUACGGGAGGCAGCGGUGGGGAGUAUUGCACAGUGGGCGGAAGCCAGAUGCAGCAACGCCGCGUGCGGGAUGACGGCCUUCGGGUUGUAAACCGCUUUCGCCUGUGACGAGGCGUGAUUGACGGUAAUGGGUAAAGAAGCACCGGCUAACUACGUG
rnacentral:rRNA from 1 species